rnacentral:misc_RNA from 1 species
GCACAAGAGUGGGCUGCAAUUCCUGGUGGUCAAGCUACCUACUUGGGCCAACCAGUUCCAUGGGGAACCCUCCCAACCAUUUUGAUCAUCGAGUUCCUAGCUAUUUCCUUCGUUGAGCACCAACGCAGCAUGGAGAAAGAUCCUGAGAAGAGGAAGUACCCUGGUGGUGCUUUUGAUCCUUUGGGCUACUCCAAGGACCCUAAAAAGUUCCAUGAAUACAAGGUCAAAGAAAUCAAGAAUGGUCGGCUAGCAAUCUUGGCAUUUGUAGGGUUCUGUGUGCAACAAUCAGCUUACCCAGGCAC